UACGGGGGGGGCAAGCGUUGUUCGGAAUUACUGGGCGUAAAGGGCUCGUAGGUGGUCAACUAAGUCGGACGUGAAAUCCCUCGGCUUAACCGGGGAACUGCGUCCGAUACUGGAUGACUUGAGUUCGGGAGAGGGAUGCGGAAUUCCAGGUGUAGCGGUGAAAUGCGUAGAUAUCGGAAGGAACACCGGUGGCGAAAGCGGCGCGCUGGACCUCUUCUGACGCUGAGGCGCGAAAGCCAGGGGAGCAAACGGGAUUAGAAACC
rnacentral:rRNA from 1 species